UGCUAAGGAAAUGUGUUCUUCAAGUACUGUGAAAGAUUUGUUUUGACACCUAGUUCUUUUUGUUUCCAAGGGCUCUGAGAAAGACUUCCAGCUGUGGGUGAGUUCUGAUAUUCAGGUUUCUUUCCAUACAGGACAUG
rnacentral:lncRNA from 1 species